CACAUCACGUUGAAACACCGGUUCCCAUACGAUCACCGAAGUUAAGCAACGUCGAUUCUGGUCAGUACCUAAAUGGGUGUUCACUUUGGAAUAGCAAAAGCUGUAAG